CGCGACCCCAGGUCAGGCGGGGCUACCCGCUGAGUUUAAGCAU
rnacentral:rRNA from 2 species